rnacentral:rRNA from 1 species
GACGAACGCUGGCGGCGUGCUUAACACAUGCAAGUCGAACGGAAAGGCCUCUUUCGGGGGGUACUCGAGUGGCGAACGGGUGAGUAACACGUGAGUAACCUGCCCUUGACUUUGGGAUAACUUCAGGAAACUGGGGCUAAUACCGGAUAGGAGCUCCUGCUGCAUGGUGGGGGUUGGAAAGUUUCGGCGGUUGGGGAUGGACUCGCGGCUUAUCAGCUUGUUGGUGGGGUAGUGGCUUACCAAGGCUUUGACGGGUAGCCGGCCUGAGAGGGUGACCGGCCACAUUGGGACUGAGAUACGGCCCAGACUCCUACGGGAGGCAGCCGUGGGGAAUAUUGCACAAUGGGUGGAAGCCUGAUGCAGCAACGCCGUGUGCGGGAUGACGGCCUUCGGGUUGUAAACCGCUUUCGCUCAUGACGAAGCUUUGUGUGACGGUAGUGGGUAAAGAAGCACCGGCUAACUACGUG